rnacentral:rRNA from 1 species
GAUGAACGCUGGCGGCGUGCUUAAUACAUGCAAGUCGAGCGAACGGACGAGAAGCUUGCUUCUUUGAUGUUAGCGGCGGACGGGUGAGUAACACGUGGAUAACCUACCUAUCAGACUGGGAUAACUUCGGGAAACCGGAGCUAAUACCGGAUAAUAUCUUGAACCGCAUGGUUCAAAAGUGAAAGACGGUCUUGCUGUCACUUAUAGAUGCAUCCGCGCUGCAUUAGCUAGUUGGUAAGGUAACGGCUUACCAAGGCAACGAGGCGUAGCCGACCGGAGAGGGUGAUCGGCCACACUGGAACUGGACCACGGACCAGGCUCCUACGGGAGGCAGCAGUAGGGAACCGUCCGCAGUGGGCGAAAGCCUGACGGAGCAACGCCGCGUGAGUGAUGAAGGUCUUCGGUUCGUAAUACUCUGUUAUUAGGGAAGAACAUAUGUGUAAGUAACUGUGCACAGCUUGACGGUACCGGAUCAGAAAGCCACGGCUAACUACGUG